rnacentral:tmRNA from 1 species
GGGGCUGAUUCUGGAUUCGACGGGAUUUGCGAAACCCAAGGUGCAUGCCGAGGGGCGGUUGGCCUCGUAAAAAGCCGCAAAAAAAUAGUCGCAAACGACGAAACCUACGCUUUAGCAGCUUAAUAACCUGCUUAGAGCCCUCUCUCCCUAGCCUCCGCUCUUAGGACGGGGAUCAAGAGAGGUCAAACCCAAAAGAGAUCGCGUGGAUGCCCUGCCUGGGGUUGAAGCGUUAAAACGAAUCAGGCUAGUCUGGUAGUGGCGUGUCCGUCCGCAGGUGCCAGGCGAAUGUAAAGACUGACUAAGCAUGCAGUACCGAGGAUGUAGGAAUUUCGGACGCGGGUUCAACUCCCGCCAGCUCCACCA